GGCGUCCAGGACUCCAGGCCCCGCGCUGGAGCAUGCGUCUAGGCAUGGCAGCCAUUCCUCAGCGGCGAGCACGGUGCUGCGAUGUGGUCGGCCUCGCUGGCAAUCGAGGCACGCGUAUUUAGCGGCGUGCGUGCGACGGACGGCAAAGGGGCGGUUGGAUCCUGCGUAGGGACGCGUGGAUUUUUUUCAGCACCUGGGACGGCACGACCGCGGCGGCCAGCAGCGUUAACGCCCCCGGAACGACCCCGCCUCCGACCGCGGUGGCCAACAACGUUGUUAGCCGGCAUCUGGACCAUGCCUCCGAUAGGUGAGAUCCCAGAUCCACUGUCGAUCCGCGUCCGGCUCCUCUGACUCCUCCACCAUUGGUCCGCCCCCUUUUCGUGCCAGAUCCGCCUGCUCUGGGCGGUUCUGUCGGCGUCCAUAGGUAUCUCUCGUGACUCAUUGCACAAGCGCCGGGCCACCGGUGGAAAGCACGAGGCCUGGAGGAAGAAGCGAAAGUAUUGACUAUUUCUCUUCCCUUUAUUGUUUUCCUUUGGAUUCAUGUAGGCGUGCUCUCGGUUUGUAGUUCAGGCUGCUGCUUGAUUAGAUCAGCGGUGCUAGGCAAUGCUUGCUGAUUAGUUUAUCUUCAAAAAUGCUCUUUGAAGUUUUAACCGCCCUUUACUGAUUUGCUGAAGCUGCUCUUGAGGUCAUAUUCACAAUAGAUGGUGAAUAUUUCUUUGUUAAUAAGACAGUAGCAGAUCACUGUAAAUAAGCAAGUGUUGUUCAGUUCUUUUCUCAGUA